rfam:Triticum aestivum genome assembly, contig: Triticum_aestivum_CS42_TGACv1_scaffold_640952_T_4BS-0.194185_2AL-0.129059
CUAAUACUCCCUCCGGCCCAAAAUUCUUGUCUUAGAUUUGUCUAGAUACGGAUGUAUCUAACACUAAAACGUAUCUAGAUACAUCCGUAUUUAGACAAAUCUAAGACAAUAAUUUUGGGACGGAGGGAGUACAAU